ensembl:lncRNA
CUGACUCUCACGACUUCCCUCUUUGGACUCGGGUGACUCCAAGAUUUGGAAUUCACUAAAAAGUUGGUCUUUGCUGUUUAGGAAUAACUCUUCAGUGACUCACCUCUGAGUCUGUUCUCGGCUCUCCACAGUUGUAUGAAGAGUUGAAGAAUAAGGACCUCACCCUGCAAGCCACGGCUGCUUUUAGAGCUGUAGAGGGGCUCCCACCUGCACACGUGCACCUGUGCGCCCUUAUGGCUGUCAAAUCCCCACUAAGUACCCCACUAAACAAGUGACACGGUCCAGUCUGCAACCUCUGUGGAGAAGAGUGGGGUUUGGCCACAGAGGGAAUCCUGCUAGAAUCAGAAGGAAGAAACCAGGAAAAAAGCAGGCCACAUCUGGCUCUGGCAGCAAUUUUGAGAUGCUUUACAGUGACAUGUUCCGAAGUCUACCUUCUGUGUUCGCAUCACCUGAGCUCGAGGCCAGACCUGCUGGGGCUCCUCAAUGCCUUCAGUUCCAUGCCCUUCAGAAAGCCGAGUUCUGGAUCUCCAGACUCUCAUGGGUGACCCUGGACCCAGCCAGCGCUCCUGACUUCUGUGCUAGACCCUCUUCACAAUGAGGAGGUGCGCUUGUUGCAGCGUGUGUGUGGAGGUUAGAGACCUGGUGGAAGGAGCUCUUUCCUUUUACCAUGUGGGUCCGGGGAUCAAAUUCAAGUUGUCAAGCUUGCAGCAGGAGCCUCUCUGCCGGCCGAGCUUCUCCCCGACCCUGGCUCAGCGGUAUCUGAGAGAUGAUGAUGGUGAUGAUGAUGAUGGUGACGGUGAUGAUGAUGAUGAUGACGACGACGACGAUUAUUAUUAUUUUAGGUCUAGAACUAAUAAGGUCCUUUGAACUCAGCCCCAUUGACUUGGUCCAAAGUUAGUGGUCCGAUUUUUUCUUUUAACCUGACAUCUUAAAACUGGAGCUGUCCCUUCAAGGGGACCAGGUGAAGCUGAGCCUGAUGCCUCCCACCUGAGAAUGAGCAGCUAGGUACGCCUCCUCACAUCAGUGGUGCCAGCACUUGGGACUUUAAUAUUGUUAGGAUUUCCAGAAGUCUCUUUUUAGUGACUGAGAUCACCCUAGUUACUCCUUCACCGAGGAACAGGCCUCAGCAGCAUUUCCUUUUCCCUAAUACUAGCCCAUCCCACCUAACCCCACAUCUACUAGGGAUGGACGAACGUGGAAAGCACUUGCUACUCAAAGUGUGGUCCUCAGCCUGGACACCGGCAACAUCCAAAAGCUUCUUAGAAGUGCAAAAGGUCACACCCAUUCAUAGACUGAUGGAAC